GUCUUGUGAAAGAGAAAAACAUUGAACUACAACUUUAAGCUCUUCAUUUGAAGAAAGUUACAGUUCAGACACUGGAGAUUUUUGUCACCAAUAUUUCAAGCUGGGCUCAUCCUUGGAGACCUCGACUGGGCUUCGCCUUCUUCAUUCCAGUGAGGUCACGCACCUCCACCCUGCUCCUGCCUCUGCAGCAUGGAACACAUCAAUUUCC
rnacentral:lncRNA from 1 species